rnacentral:rRNA from 1 species
UACGGAGGGUGCAAGCAUUGAUCGGAAUUACUGGGUGUAAAGGGCGCGUAGGCGGCAGGAAAAGUCGGAUGUGAAAUUCCGGGGCUCAACCCCGGAGCUGCAUUUGAAACUAUCCAGCUAGAGGUAAGUGAGGGAAAACGGAAUUCCACGUGUAGCGGUGAAAUGCGUAGAUAUGUGGAAGAACACCGGUGGUGAAGACGGUUUUCUGUACUAAACCUGACGCUGAGGCGCGAAAGCUAGGGGAGCAAACAGG